rnacentral:lncRNA from 1 species
GCUACAUACAUUGCUUUCCUAAAUUUCAAAUACAAAUAUAACUUUCGUGCAACCAAAAAUGCUUUUCUGACGCUUUUCUGGAUUUGUGUUAAAAAAAUGAAGGACAAGUAAAUGCUAAUUAAGUUACUGAGGUAAUAUAUGAACAAAAUUAAUGUUAAAGUAUAGUGCAGUGCAUCUGAGGUCAAAUAUGAAUCAUUAUAUGAUAGCAACC